UUGCCAAGCACAGUCAGCUGCCUAGGUUCUUGCUUCUUGACCAACUCACAGUUGCCCUUCUUUUCAGCAGCUGCCACGGUGUUCUCUGCGUCUCGCAGCCUCUGGGGAGCAACAAGAAUUUCCAAGGCGGUUUCCGGCUUAGAACAGGACACAGUGCAGGUGCAACCACUGAACCGUCAUGCUAGCUGUUCCGAACAAGGCCUGGCAAGAACUUGGCAAGGACUUGGCAAGGACUUGGCAAAGACCUGACGUGGACCCAGCACGGGACAGCCUGAUGCGCGGCCUGCUUCUAAUCUCCGUUCUUAAGCCAAAUGAACUUUUGGGCUGACUCCCGGGGUCCUUCAUUGAAGACCCCUCAUCUGCCUCGUUACCACUGUGACAAACAAAGAAUGAGAACCCUCCUCCCAAGGACUGAGACUGAGACCCCUGCUAUAGGGAGGAGGGGAAAUUGGUGGUCUGACCACUAAUGACAUGACCUGUUUCCCUUCAGUGAUUCAAAUGGACUUAUUCUUCAUUGGAUUCGUCUUGCUUUGGUGGUUUCUGUGGACUCACCUGUUCCCGCGUGGCGAUUACAAUGGACUUUCAUUGUUACACUUGCUCCCCCCUCUUUCCUCUGUGGACUAUAACUGGAGCCCCGAGUCGACCAGAACUUCGGAGACUCCCCCGACACGACAGACGGAUCCCCAUCGUCCGGACCACUGAGGAUCUCGCCUGUGUUGGUAGCUAUUCCCAUACCCCUCUUCUCUCUCUCUCUCUCCUUUUAUCUCCUUUCCGAUCCCCACUAUCGCAUUUACUGUUUUGGCCCCUAAUAAAGGUGCAUUUGUUGUGAUUAA